UACAGAGGUCUCAAGCGUUGUUCGGAUUCAUUGGGCGUAAAGGGUGCGUAGGCGGCUCGGUAAGUCGGGUGUGAAAUCUCGGAGCUUAACUCCGAAACUGCAUUCGAUACUGCCUUGCUCGAGUACUGGAGAGGAGACUGGAAUUUACGGUGUAGCAGUGAAAUGCGUAGAUAUCGUAAGGAAGACCAGUGGCGAAGGCGAGUCUCUGGACAGUUACUGACGCUGAGGCACGAAGGCCAGGGGAGCAAACGGG
rnacentral:rRNA from 1 species